rnacentral:rRNA from 1 species
UACGGAGGGGCUAGCGUUGUUCGGAAUUACUGGGCGUAAAGCGCACGUAGGCGGCUUGUAAGUUAGAGGUGAAAGCCCGGGCUCAACUCCGGAAUUGCCUUUAAGACUGCAUCGCUAGAAUUGUGGAGAGGUAAGUGGAAUUCCGAGUGUAGAGGUGAAAUUCGUAGAUAUUCGCAAGAACACCAGUGGCGAAGGCGGACUCACUGGCCCGAUACGUGACGCUG